CUGAUUUCAUGCUGAGUCUGAAAAUACAGCCUGCUGGAAGAGAUACCAAAAAUGGGCUUCAUUGGGAAGAACUGCAUCAGUCUGAGCACUGUUAGAAAAUGAACCAGCCUUGUUCUUUUUCAAGGAACCUGACAGACUAAUGUACACUAAGUCAAUGUAUUCAAAGCCAGAAUGUUCUGAAAUGGAAACUCUGAAUUCUACAAGUUUUGUUCCUAUCUGAGAUUUCCAGUGCUGUGUCCAGGGGUGUCUGGCACCUACAAUAAUAUGCCAUGGAGCUUGUGAGUGAGUCACUCACGAGUCAUUCUCUUCCACCUCAGAUUGUUCACCAGAUGGUGUUUCUAUUGCUCUGAUGCCUGUUCAGAGUUCACAAUCUCCUUGCUCAUCUGUGAGGUGGUGAAGCUUUUCCCUUCUGACUGAUCUGACUCUAGCAGCCAGAGGCAUUUAGAUUAACAGGGAGCAGACCAUGGAACAAUGCCAAGCUGGUAAGCUAUGCAAAGCAGUGAGGAGAAAUGGAAAAGCUGUAACUGGAGCAAGAUCUGGAAGCACAGAAGCAGGGCCUUGUGGAGGGUUGGCAGUGCAAUUCCCCUUUCUUGUUGGCUCCCUGUGCACAAAUGAAUUCUCAAGAGCAGCCCCCCUCAAACUGGGCAUCUCCAUAUUUGUGGAUUUUCCAGUUUUCAACUUGCUUGAAAUGUCGCUUCUGACUCUUUGUGACUUCACGGACCAGCCCACGCCAGAGCUUCCUGUCAGUCGUCAACACCCCCAGCUCCCCCAGGGACGAGUCCGUCACCUCUAGAAUAUCAUCCAUCCACCUUGCCCUUGGUCGGCCCCUCUUCCUUUUGCCUUCCACUUUCCCCAGCAUCAGCAUCUUCUCCAGGAUAUCCUGUCUUCUCAUUAUGUGGCCAAAGUAUUUCAGUUUUGCCUUUAAUAUCAUUCCCUCAAGUGAGCAGUCUGGCUUUAUUUCCUGGAGUAUGGACUGGUUUGAUCUUCCUGCAGUCCGAGGCACUCUCAGAAUUUUCCUCCAACACCACAGUUCCAAAGCAUCGAUCUUCCUUCUCCCAGCCUUCCUUAUGGUCCAGCUCUCGCAGCCAUAUGUUACUACGGGGAACACCAUUGCUUUAACUAUGCAGACCUUUGUUAUCAGUGUGAUGUCUCUGCUCUUAACUAUUUUAUCGAGAUUUGUCAUUGCUCUUCUCCCAAGGAUUAAACAUCUUCUGAUUUCCUGACUGCAGUCAGCAUCUGCAGUAAUCUUUGCACAGAAUUAAAUUGUUCAGUUAUAAAAGCCACACAGAAUAUGAUGAGUGAAAAUGUGAUGUGGCUCAUACCAAAUACUAAGCCAAAAUGUUUGUUUCUAGCUUAGUAUGUAGUAUGAACCCAACCAAUUUAGCCUGUUAAUCAUGGUUUGUGACUAUGUUUAUAAACCCAACUAGUUGUGGUUUAUUUACUAAAGCAUGGCUAAUCCAUUGAUUGUUAAUCCAAAUUACAUUUGCCACUAAUCUAUUUUUCAUACUGAAUUAUCUUUUCCAGAUGCA